UGCGCAGGCGGUUCGUUGUGUCGGUGGUGAAAGCCCCGGGCUUAACCUGGGAAUGGCCGUCGAAACUGGCGAACUGGAGUGUGGCAGAGGGGGGUGGAACUCCGCGUGUAGCAGUGAAAUGCGUAGAGAUGCGGAAGAACACCGGUGGCGAAGGCAGCCCCCUGGGCUGACACUGACGCUGAGACGCGAAAGCGUGGGGAGCGAACA
rnacentral:rRNA from 1 species